rnacentral:rRNA from 1 species
AUAACGACUCUCGGCAACGGAUAUCUUGGCUCUCGCAUCGAUGAAGAACGUAGCGAAAUGCGAUACUUGGUGUGAAUUGCAGAAUCCCGUGAACCAUCGAGUCUUUGAACGCAAGUUGCGCCCGAAGCCUCACGGCCGAGGGCACGCCUGCCUGGGCGUCACGC